GAUGAACGCUGGCGGCGUGCCUAAUCCAUGCAAGUCGAGCGAACAGACGAGGAGCUUGCUCCUCUGACGUUAGCGGCGGACGGGUGAGUAACACGUGGAUAACCUACCUAUAGACUGGGAUAACUUCGGGAAACCGGAGCUAAUACCGGAUAAUAUAUUGAACCGCAUGGUUCAAUAGUGAAAGACGGUUUUGCUGUCACUUAUAGAUGGAUCCGCGCCGCAUUAGCUAGUUGGUAAGGUAACGGCUUACCAAGGCGACGAUGCGUAGCCGACCUGAGAGGGUGAUCGGCCACACUGGAACUGAGACACGGUACAGACUCCUACGGGAGGCAGCAGUAGGGAAUCUUCCGCAAUGGGCGAAAGCCUGACGGAGCAACGCCGCGUGAGUGAUGAAGGUCUUCGGAUCGUAAAACUCUGUUAUUAGGGAAGAACAAAUGUGUAAGUAACUAUGCACGUCUUGACGGUACCUAAUCAGAAAGCCACGGCUAACUACGUG
rnacentral:rRNA from 1 species